AAGUUAAAACAUUAAUGUUGUAGGUAUAAGUGAUGUGUUGUUUUAAGUAUUUUUUAUGCACAAUUUUGUUAAGUAAGGAUUAGAGCGUCGAAUGUUUGAAAUGUUUGGUCAUAAUUAUACAUGGUAUUUACGCAGGUAUCACUCCGCCAGAAAAGUAGAGACCUGUUUAUGUGUUUCGUGUUUCGAAAACAGGUAUCACUCCGCCAGAAAAGUAGAGACCUGUUUAUGUGUUUCGAGAACAGGUAUCACUCCGCCAGAAAAGUAGAGACCUGUUUAUGUGUUUCGUGUUUCCAAAACAGAUGGAGACCAGGAGGACACAGAUGUGUGGGGGGGGGGUGUCCUUCCUGCCACGGCCAUCCAUCACAGCCCACUACCACCUACCACCUCCACUUAGGGUCAUACCACUUCUGCAAGUACUAAUCACUAAGCUCACAUUGGUGGCCUUCAACUUCUGGGACUUCUUUUAGGUGAAAGUGACUAAAAAGGUGAAGUAAAUCUUAAAUCUAACCUGGAACUUAGUGAAGUAGAAACAAACACAAGCGCUGACUCUUUAUGUUGGCUCCACUCUCUCAGAGUAAAUGUCCAAAGUCAAACACGUCCACUAGAAGCUGUUACGUGAGCGCUUGGUGACUGGACCCCAAUAUGCAGGGACGGCAGGCAAUGUGCAGUCAUUCGCCAUGGUGGACUGGUGCUGGUUGUUCCAGACAAAACCCUGACUUGUUCCCACCCAGCAAGGCCAUGUUCUUGCUCUUCUUGGCCCCCCCGUGCCACUCCGGGCCCCCACCAUCUGUUCCCUGGCACCGCCACCCCUGACCCCUUGGAGGGGGACCUAGAAUGCUGACACCUUCACACUCGCUCAGUUCCAGGACAAGAUCCCAGGCCAGCAUUGAGACAUGAAGCAGGUAAUAAUGGUGAUAAUCAUGCUUUAUGCUUCCUGUUUGUGUUUAUUUCCAACAUGCUUACACUCACAAUAUGUUGGAAAAGGAGUAGGAAGAAGUAGACUUUACAAUUUACUCCAUCUAAUCAUCAUUUUGUUGUAAACAUAUUCUUCAAGUGGAUCCUACUAGGUUAUUGUUCAUUAAUCCAUCCCAUAAUUCCACACAAGGGUUGUACGGUAUAGCGUUACUACUAUAGUAUCACGGUACUAAUGAAUCAAACACGGUACUAUACUCUCUUUGAAAAGUACCUCUUCUCCAUAUUUUAUUUUUACAGGCAUGAUGGUGUGUUGUCAUUGCUGGUUUUAGGAGCAGAGGAGCAUGUAUGGCAGCGCACACACACAGAGUACUUCCAAGCAGACACAGUGUGUGGACAGAAAAGGGAAAAUGGACGCAUUUUGGUGUAAAAAGUCAAGAUAAAAGUGAAGUUAUAACACUGAAACACCCUCAGGAAGAGCUGCUUUAACACAUGCAGCUAACAUCCAUCCACAGUGUUUUAGCUACUUCAAUUAAAUAAAGUAAGUUUCUUACAGGUAUUAUUAUCACUGGAGGACGAGAAAUAGCUAAACAUGCUUCACUACACACCGUAGGAGGAUACCGUAGCUCACCGCUAACGACGCCUUUCCUGAAUGUAAACAGAUGCCAUGUGUGGAUCAACACCUGACAUCCACAGUAAUGAUACCAAGUACAGGAGCGGGUUUCUAGUCGAUACUUCUAUGAUUACAUCGAUAUUUUUUAUCGUCACAAAAUAUUUUUCUUUUUUUUUUAAAUUAUAUUAUGUUUAUAAAGUAAGUAAAUACGUGCUUGGACACAUGAGGACUUUGAAUAUGACCAAUGUAUGAUCCUGGAACUACUUGGUAUCGACAUGAUCCAUACCUAAAUGUGUGGUAUCAUCCAAAACUAAUGUCAGGUAUCAAAGCAGAGAAGAAUAAGUGAUUAUUACAUUUGAACAAAAGUGUAGAUAGAACAUGUUGAAACAGAAAAUAAGCAGAUAUUAACAGUAAAUGAACAAGUAGAUUAAUAAUGAAUGUUUACAGUUUGUCCCUCAUAAUGUGUAUCAAAUAAUAGGUGUAUAAAUGACACAAUAUGUAACAGCAGACUAAUUAGGAGUAUUUGUUUGUUUGUUUGUUUACUACUAAAAGACAAGUUGUCUAGUAUGUUCAACAUCUUAUUGAAGGACUAAAUGACAAUAAUAAACAUACUUUUCAUCAACACUAACAUCUGUUGUUCAGAUAAAGACAAUAAUGACAUUUUUUGUGGUCCUUUUAUUCAUAAAAAUAUUGAAAAGUAUGGAAAUACAUUUUGCUGUGGCGACAAGCUUAUUGCACAAAGUGAUGUAGUGCUAAAUGUUUGAAGUGUUGUACGUGCAAACUGACUUAUAUUUCUCCUCUUUGGUUGAAAAUAAUUGUGGCUCGCAGCUUACACUUUACAUCCAUUUACCAAAUCACUACAUUUGAAUAUUUUUCAUUCAAUAAAUAAUGUUUGUUAUUUCUCUCUAUCCAACACAACGUUUUAUUCUCAGUGAUAUUUUUGUAGCAGUUAGUGAAUGAAGUGUAGUUAUUUCCUCAUAAUUCUGCACAACAACUCAGACAUGCUAACACUAGUAAGAGGAUAUGAUGUUUGUUUUUUUAAUCCAAUUAUAUUUAUAUUAUUGACAUAUUUCCUGCCACUUUAUGUUGUAUAUUUUGUACAUGAGGUUCAUUUGAUCAUCUAUUUUUACACCCAGAAAUAUGAUUUCUUUCACCCUUUCAGUGUCUACUCUAUUAUAUAUAUUAGGUAGAGAAGCCAACAAUGAAUAAUUACUUUAGAGCAGUGGUUUUUAAACUUAGUUUUUCACAUCCCACCUCAGAAAACACCAUAGCCUCCAUAAUGACCAACAUUAACAUGCAGGAGCAUAAAAGGCCUAAAUAUUCAUUAAAAACAAGGCAGAGGUUGUAUUUAUUUAAUUAUCCAUCCAUCACUCCAUUUCCUACCGCUUGUCCCUUAUGGGGUUGCGGGGGGUCGCUGGAGCCUAUCUCAGCUGCAUUCGGGCGAAAGGCGGGGUACACCCUGGACAAGUCGCAGCCUCAUCGCAGUUAUUUAAUU